UAGCUUCAGAUUUCUUACUGUAUUUAUAUAUGUUUAACUUAAUAUAUAUGGUCAUGUUUCACUUAAUGUUGGGGACAUGACCUGAGAAUGUGUUGUUGACAAUCAUCAUUAGCAUUUACUUACACAAACUUCAUACAUCUCCCACAAACUUCUGGGACUAUUAUUGAAAUGUGUAGUCUGUUGUCUUACCCAGCAGUAACUGUGUAACACUAUGUGACUCUAUUAUUUGGGUUUAAUACAAAAUGUCAUCUCUCCCUAAAAUGAAAUUAAGACACUUAUGGCUAAAUUUAUUUAUUGCUUAUCUUGGCAUGCUCCCAUUUUCUGAAUGGAGUAAAGGUACUGCUCUUGAUUAUGCUUUUAGAAUUUCUUCCCAUUGCUAAUACAAGACCAAUACUUUACUGAAAUGAAUCUUUAGGUAUUAGCUGAACAAAAGGACAUCCAGAGGCAACUUAAGAAUAUAAUGCCAGAAUUUAUAAGAUGGGAUUCUAUCAAAUCAUCUUUGCAAACAAAAGUAGAUAGACAUGGCAAAAAGAAAAGAUGUUUCUUGAAUUAUUUUCUGUUUUCAAAUGUUUGUGUGUACAUGUUGUGUGUGUAUGUGAACAUAUAUUAAAUGGUAACUGGCUUUAUAAUGGAAAAACAGAGAAUUUUAAAGCCAAAUAUGUAUAUCCUUGAUGUACACAUUUUGGGUGUUUUGGUCCCAUUGGCCUAAUUUACGUUCUUAAUUCAAAUCCAUUUGUUGGCAGCAGUCCAGUAGUGAUUUUCACUUUGGCCACAACUAGAGAAAAGGCUUUUGAUAUUUACCAUAGGAAUUGAUGAUUUUUCAUGAUCUCAAAACCCUUGUCACUAACAGUAGCUGUUCUAGUUUGGAGCAGGGAUAUCCCCCUCUUGGUAUGCUAAUGUAGAGGUCUGCUUAUUACUCCCAUCAUUAAGCAGGAAAAGUAUAGCCAGCAGAGCCCCUAGUUUGGAUAUCAUUUACUCACAUAUGAGAUGAGAAACAGUUUGCUCCAAGAAAUAUCCUAUUUAAGCAUAAAAAAUUUUUGUAAACAAUGAUAUGCCAUAAUAUUUUACUUAGUGAUGAUUUAUUGGUAAGUAUGUCAUUACAGUAAAUGAGGUCAGUUUAUUUCCCCUAUUUCACAUUUAUUCACUUUUCAGCCUUUAUAAAAAAGAAAUAAAUCUUACUGAGCAGAAAACAAUCAGGAUUUUCUAAGAGCCUAACAAAUAUGACCUUAUUUACAAUUAGUAUUAUGAAACACAAGCCUUCUUUUGUGUCUUUAUUUUUACAGUAGAGAAAUAACUGGUAUGAUGAAAAAGCACCUGAAGCAGCUUGCUUAUAUUUAUAUCAUUCUGUUUUUCACAUUUUGAUAAAAAGUUCAUUGGUAUAUAUAAAACUGCUUAAGUACUGUCCCUAGAUUUAUCAUUUAUCAAUAGCUGCAAUUCUUAUGAUUACAAAAAUGUGGAAAAAAUAGAAUAUGUGUAGAAUAUUUUCAGGAAAAGGGAACUAAAAGAACUUUGGGGAAUUUCAUCUGUGCAAAUAUGUGUUGAGCUAAGACCCUUAUUAUGGGUUGGAUGUAUACGUGAGGUAUCAGAGACCAAAGUUUUUUCAACAUGGUAAAACAUACUAAUCACUUUAUGAAUUGAAUCUGUUGUAAUUCAGAGAAAGGCUUUUUCAACUCUGAAAUGUCUUAAAAUUAUGAUAUUUUUGUACUCGUAGAUUCAUUAUCUUCAAUAAACAUUUUGAAAUUUUUUGCUUCUA